UCCGCCCGUGCGUCUCUACGCACACUUGAUUGAGCCUUCGCCAUCACUGCGCAGGCAAGCUACAGUUAUAAGUGGCAGGGAUGGAAGAAAAGGGCCAGGCCGCCUGAGGUUAUGAGGACUGAAAAAGGCUACUUCCUGGUUCAUGGAGGAUGACCCGCCAGAUGGGCACUUUUUAAGUGUACCAUUCCACCGAGGCCAUGGCGACGUUAAAGGGACUGUUGGCUCAAAGGGUUGGAGCCGGACUGGACAUCUCCGGGGAGUUGGGGCCCCGACCGGGGAGCACAAAUGGCAGCAGAGUGUACGAUUACACCACCACCAUGGCUGAAACAAACCGUACAGUAGAAAAGCAGUUGUAGUGUUCUUCCCAUGCGUUCAGGAAUUACUGACUCUUGAAAGUAUUCACAGCACUUCACUUUUCCCACAUUUUGUUAUGUUAAAGCCUAAAAUUCUACAUACCCCAUAAUGACAAUGUGAAUAGUUUUUAGAAUUUAUUAAAAAUAAAAAAUCACAUGUACAAACCCCGUUUCCGUAUGAGGUGGGAAAUUGUGUUAUAUGUAAAUAUAAACGGAAUACAAUGAUUUGCAAAUAAUUUUCAACCCAUAUUCAGUUGAAUAUGCUACAAAGACAACAUAUUUCAUGUUCAAACUGAUAAA